UACAGAGGUCCCAAGCGUUGUUCGGAUUCACUGGGCGUAAAGGGUGCGCAGGCGGUCGGGUAAGUCUGAUGUGAAAUCCCGCAGCUUAACUGCGGAAUGGCAUUGGAUACUAUUCGGCUAGAGGGUUGGAGGGGGGACUGGAAUUCUCGGUGUAGCAGUGAAAUGCGUAGAUAUCGAGAGGAACACCAGUGGCGAAGGCGAGUCCCUGGACAACUCCUGACGCUGAGGCACGAAAGCUAGGGGAGCAAACAGG
rnacentral:rRNA from 1 species